GCCAAGGAGAGUUUUGACUGUCAGGAAAACUAAAGAGGAGGAGUUCGUGAAGUAAGUCCUUAAAAUCACAUCUGUUCACCUUACGUGACAGGAAGGAGAGGCGACUUCUGAAGCAGGGUGAUUGAAAUGGAAAUGCAUUCAAAUAAAUGGACUCUGGAGCUCCACUUUGUUCUAAAUAACCUCUACUGUCUUUUUUUCUGUCUUGCUCCAGUUUGUCCUGCUCAAACUGUAAAGUCCUCUCCCUGGAUUUCUAAGGAUGCUGUGCCCUCUGUCUUUGCCUUCGCUUGGCUCCUCUGUCUUUGGCCUUCAGGAUUCUGUUAGCCUGUCUGAGAAGACUGUCACCAUGGCCUUCUGAAGGUUUUUCCUAUUGACUAGAAGAUUUGCAACUCGAGUGACAGAGUGACUGAUAUCAUCCCCACUCAUUUCACUGUCAAGAGUUGGGCUUGUCAGCCCUUGGUGAGUAACACACCAGCCAUAGGCACUGAUCAUAAACUGUUCCCCAUUAGCUGUCACGGUCAAACUCACCUCCCCAAGUCAUGGAGUUCCAGAUAGACCACCAACGACAGGCUUUACUGUUUGGUCAUUUGCUUUUUCCCCUCGAACAGGAGGAUUUCCUAUUCCCUGGUUUUGCAUUUCUGUAUCAUAAGGGAAAUGUGGCUCAUUAGUAAUGGAGCACGGAUGCCAUUCUAUGCUUAUCAUGAGCUGACACUGAUCAGAUUAGGGAAGCAAUUGGCAACUUUCUUUUCUUCUCUUGCCAUCCAGUCAGAACAGUGACUUCAAUUUUAUUUGUCUGUUUUUCUUGCUAUUCUCAGCUUUCUCCUACUCACCAUUCUCCU
rnacentral:lncRNA from 1 species